UGAGGUGAGUAGAAUCAAGAUGAUGANUUGGGCCUUGCUAAGUUGCUGAGACUGGCCUUGAACUUGCAAUUCUCCUUCCUCAGCCUCCUGCGCCGCUGGGGUUAUAGGUGUGCCACCUUGUCUGGCUAUUUUAAAAUAUUGUCCCCGCCCCCUUAGUAUUAUUUUCAGUAGCUGUCGUAGCAUUCACUGCAUUAAUAUGCCUCUUCCCCUUUAACCAAUUUUCUUGUUUUGGGACCAUUAAUAUUAUUUCCAGUUUUUCACUGUUCCAAAUAGUCUGUGAUGAACUUAUUGUUGCCUGUAUCUUUGUGUAUGUUCUUACUUAUUUCCUUGUAUACAUUCCCAGAAGUAGAAUCUCUAGGACAAAGUGAUGUGAACUUUUAAGGGUUUUGUGUUAUGUUAACAAAUAACCCUUAGAUAUGUCUUAUUUACCUUCCACUGAGAACUCGUAAGUGUCCCUUAUAUGUUAUUACAAUGAGAAUGAUUUUUUUUUUUUUAAUAAGAUGUCUUACUGUUUAAUAAUACUACAUUUCUAAGCUUUGGGUGCUAGUUCUAAAAGCAAGUUCCCUUAUAAUUGUUUCUUUUUUAAAGGAACUUAAGAAGUAUGGAGUGACAACUUUGGUUCGAGUUUGUGAUGCUACAUAUGAUAAAGCUCCAGUUGAAAAAGAAGGAAUCUACGUUCUAGUGAGUGUGUAGUGUUUUAGUUUUAUUUUGUGACAAAUAAGUUGUACCUUUCAAAUACAGAUAUUUAUAAAACUUGGUGUUCAGUAAUUUUGCUUUUUAAGCUUAUAAUAGUAAAUACAAUAUUGAUAACAAUCUUUAAAAUUCCUUUGGAUCAGCUGGGUGUGGUGGUACAUGCCUGUCAUCUCAGCGAUUUGGGAGGCUGAGGCUGAAAGAUGGCAAGUUUAAGGCCAAUUUAAGCAAUUUAGGGAGAUCCUAAGAAACUUAGUGAGACCCUGUCUCAAAAAUAAAAAGGGCUGGGGACAUUGCUCAGUGGUUAAAUGACCUUGUUCGAUACCUAUUCGAUCUCUGAAAAUAAAAUAAAAUUUCUUUGUGUUAAUUGGCAGUUUUAUUCAGUGUGUUCUUAAAGCCUACAAAUGCAGAGUAUUUUCAACAAAUAAAAAGCAAAAUUGGGUAUACAUUAUUUCAAGAAAAUGGAAAUUUUCAUUUUGUAUCUUUAAGAAAUUAAUAUAGUACUUAGCUUUCAUUUCUGUGUUACCUAUUUGAAUGUAACUGGAAAUAAUUUGUAUCAGAUAUUCUUACCUAACAUAGGGAAAUAUCAUCUGCCACUUUGCAAGUACCAGAUUAUUAAUAUUUUGUGGAAAAUUUGUAGGGGAUAAAAGGUAGGAGAAGAGGUUAAGGAGGAGUGGGAGAAGUCAUCUUGUUCCAGAAUGAUCAGCAUAGUUUCUGACACUUUGGUUGAUUGAUUGAUUGAGUUCUUUUUUUUUUUAAAAUAUUUGUGGGAUUAAUUUUCUUAUAAUAGUUCAAUUUGAGCACAAAGUGGUUGAAAUUAUUUUAAAUUAAAUUCCUCUGUAAUAUUUAUGCUGUUUCCUUAAGAAAAUAGAAGACUCAGAUUAGUUAAUUUUUUUUUUUUACCUUCUUCCCUAAAUAAUAGUCUGAAAUCCCAGGAGUGGCUUUUAGGAGCAUGUUAGGAAAUAAAGUCUAUAGUUAGGUGUGUUAGAGCUAUUUGAUUCGAUUGUGGGAAGGCAAGGUAGUAAGAGAAAUGGAAAUUUUGUAAAUAAUUAGGAAGAAAGUAAUUAGGAAGAUAUUAGUUCAAGGUUAUAUUUAUACCUUUUACUGAGAGGUAGUUCCAUAAUUUUUAUUUAUUAUAUUGGUCAGUGGUUGGAAAGGCAGUUAAUUCGAAGAAUAAGUUUUCUUUUAGUAAGGAAGCUGUCCUGUCUGAUCCAUAAAGCUUCCUCACUUCCAUUUUUUUUUUUUUUUUUAGAGUGAGAGAAUUUUUAAUAUUUAUUUUUUAGUUUUCGGCGGACACAACAUCUUUGCUGUAUGUGGUGCUGAGGAUUGAACCUGGGCCGCACGCAUGCCAGGCGAGCGCGCUACCGCUUGAGCCACAUCCCCAGCCCCUCACUUCCAUUUUUGUAAAAACAAAAAUGAAAUAGCCAGACAUCAUCAUCAUCAUCAUUAUUAUUAUUUGUACUGGGGAUUGAACCCAGGGGUGCUUUACCCAUUGAGCUACAUCCCCAACCCCCAUCUUUUAGUAAUUUAUUUAUUUAUUUUAAAUUUUUAAAUAUUUAUUUUUUAGUUGUAAUUGGACACAAUACCUUUAUUUUGUUUAUUUUUUAUGUGGUGCUGAGGGUCUAACCCAGGGCCUCGCAUGUGCUAGGCGAGUGCUCUUGUCGCUGAGCCACAACCCCAGCCCAGCCAUUUAUUUAUUUAUUUUUUAGUUGUAGUUAGACAUGAUACUUUUAUUUUAUUUAUUUAUGUAUUUUUAUGUGGUGCUGAGGAUUGAACUUAGGUGAGUGUUCCACUGCUGAGCCACAACCCCAGAACCAGUCAUUUAUUUUUAUACAGGGUCUUGCUAAUGUUGCUUGGGACCUUGCUAGAUUGCUGAGGCUAGCCUUGAACUUGUGAUUCUCCUGCCUCAGCCUCCUGAGUCACUGAGAUUAUAGGUGUGCCUCAUCCCCUCAGCUGCUGCUGCUGCUGCUGCUUUUUUCUAGUAGUAUGGCAUGAUCAUAUGCUUGCAUUUCCAUUUCUAAUUUAUAGUCCAUGGAUCGGAAAUCACUGAGGGUAAGUGGAAACAUGUAAAAUGCAGCUCUGUGGGGUUUUGUUUUUGUUAAAUAAAAACAAAUAUUUAAAUUCUGAAAUUAAGUCAAAUGCAAGUUCAUUUCCCUGUAGUUUGAGUAUGUUCUCCAGUGGAUAGAUGAGAAAACUUGUUUUGGUGUGUGGCAGGGUGAGAAAGUGACCUUGGAUUGAUCGUAGUCAGUUGAAUCAGUAAUGUUAGUAAACAUUUUCAUGAAAUAGAAAUAAACUAAAGAACCUAAACUAGUUUGUAGAAGAUAAUGGUGGGUCUGGGACUUAUUCCAAGCCUUUAAAUUUAGCUUUUUGUUUUGUUUUAAAUAGCUAUUAUCAGAUAAAUUAAAGGUUUAAUUUAAGCUUGAAAAAACAAGGAUAUUUAGUGUUAAACUUGAAAUUUCCUUUUCUUACACAGAGUUUUAAAAUGGAGUUAAUUUGCAUUUGCCAGGUGAAGAGAGUUUGGAAUGUUUCACUGUAAGAGGAUCUUCCCCCACAUAUAAGACCUUUUAAUCCUUUGAAUGCUGUUUCAAAUAAAAGGUCACUGAAGAGACUGACUAAUGUUAGUUUUAGCUGUAUCAGUUUGAGGUUCAGAUAUUUCUAAAUGAAGAAUGCUUUUUCUUUUUUACUUUUUAAACCCAUGCCUCCAAUAUGCUAGGCAUGAACUCUUAUCUCUGAGUUACACCCCUAGCUCAGCAAUUCUUUUGGGGAGUGUGUAUGUGUGUGUUUUAAAGGAACAUGAGUAAGGGAAACUUUAUUUUCCUUAAGUAGGUGCAUUUUAAGGGCGUAUUACAGGAAGUAAGCUCUUGACUAAGGUGCUUAUGAUUUUACUGCUGUUUACAGUUAAAUUCUGUAGUGACAUUUAUAAUAACACUGACAGCCUUUUAAUUAUGGGGUGUAGUUGACAAUUCAAACAUAAUGUGCUGUUGUGGCUAAUGGACUACGUGAAGUGUUCUAGUGGUGCCAAUAAUGAGUACAGAAUCAAUUUAGUGCUCUGUUGCUUUUUUAUUUCUCUAGUAUCUUAAAGUGUUCUUAGUCAGUCUCAUUAGAAUAGCCUUGUUUUAAAAAAAAAAAAAAAUCCCCAAUGGUGUUUUUCCAUUUCAGUCUUUGAGAGGAGAGAGGGUGUGUAAAAUAUGAUUUCUGCCCAUUUGUGUAGGUUUCUCAAGACCUCUUGCUAGGUAGUAAGGAAGAAAAAACUCCUGCAUACAACCCAAAUUGAUGAGUUCAAGAAGAGAAAGGGAUAUUUGAGAACAUGGUCUCCAUUUGCUCAGGAGUUUAUUAUAUGAUAUUGUCUUUGUUAAAUGACAAAGAUUUAAAAUUUAGUCAGAGAUUUAAAAUUUUGCUACUUGCCUUUUUUUUUUUUUUUUUUUAAACCAGUGAGUGAACUUGGAGGCACUCAACCACGGAGCCACAUCCCCAGCCCUAUUUUGUAUUUUUAUUUGGAGAUAGGAUUUUAUUGAGUUGCUUUUAGCACCUCACCGUUGCUGAGGCUGGAUUUGAACUCUGGAUCCUCCUGCCUCUGCCUCCUGAGCUGCUGGGAUUAUAGGCAU
rnacentral:lncRNA from 1 species